rnacentral:rRNA from 1 species
AUUGAACGCUGGCGGAAUGCUUUACACAUGCAAGUCGAGCGGCAGCACGGGGGCAACCCUGGUGGCGAGCGGCGAACGGGUGAGUAAUACAUCGGAACAUGCCCAGUCGUGGGGGAUAACACUUCGAAAGAAGUGCUAAUACCGCAUACGUCCUGAGGGAGAAAGCGGGGGAUCUUCGGACCUCGCGCGAUUGGAGUGGCCGAUGUCAGAUUAGCUAGUUGGUGGGGUAAAGGCCUACCAAGGCAACGAUCUGUAGCUGGUCUGAGAGGAUGAUCAGCCACACUGGGACUGAGACACGGCCCAGACUCCUACGGGAGGCAGCAGUGGGGAAUCUUGGACAAUGGGGGCAACCCUGAUCCAGCCAUUCCGCGUGAGUGAAGAAGGCCUUCGGGUUGUAAAGCUCUUUCGGCAGGAACGAAACGGCGAGCUCUAACAUAGCAUGCUAAUGACGGUACCUGAAGAAGAAGCACCGGCUAACUACGUGCCAGCCGCCGCAGUAAUAC